rnacentral:tRNA from 3 species
CCAGCCAUAGCGCAGUCAGAUAGCGCGCGCGCCUCCGAAGCGCGAGGUCGCUGGGGCGGAUCCAGCCGGCUGGCCCA